UACAGAGGUGCCAAGCGUUGUUCGGAUUUAUUGGGCGUAAAGGGUGCGUAGGCGGUUGUGUAAGUCGGGUGUGAAAUUUCGGAGCCUAACUCCGAAACUGCAUUCGAAGCUGCACAGCUCGAGGUCUGGAGAGGUGAUUGGAAUUCUAGGUGUAGCAGUGAAAUGCGUAGAUAUCUAGAGGAACACCAGAGGCGAAAGCGAAUCACUGGACAGAACCUGACGUUGAGGCACGAAAGCUAGGGGAGCAAACGGG
rnacentral:rRNA from 1 species